UCUAGAGGAAGGAGAAGUCGUAACAAGGUUUCCGUAGGUGAACCUGCGGAAGGAUCAUUGAAUCGAUCGAACACACAAUGGUGACCUCUGUCUCCCGCCCGAUCGGGGUCGGGUGGGCGCCUGCCCGCCCGACCUCGUGGCCGACCCGGAAGGGGUCGGGCCGCGGCCGCUCAACCUGGUGGGGGCCGCGGUGGCCAAGCCGAACCUGGAAACUGAACCUGAAGCUGUUGUAGGUCGGCGCGAAAGCCCGGCCGAUUCAAACGAAGACAACUCUCAACAACGGAUAUCUUGGCUCCCGUAACGAUGAAGAACGCAGCGAAAUGCGAUACGUAGUGUGAAUUGCAGAAUUCCGUGAAUCAUCGAGUCUUUGAACGCAUAUUGCGCCCCAGGUCUCGGCCAAGGGCACGCCUGCCUCAGCGUCUUCUCAACCCCUCCCCGUUCUCCCGUCGAGGGAGAAAGGGGGAUCUGGUCGUUCCGAUCUCCACGAUCGGAUCGGCCGAAAUACAGCAGGGUUCCCCGCUCCGUAAGGGUGUUCGAAAGGUAGUCGAAGCCGUCGGCGCCCGGGCGUGCGGAUCCUCGAAAGGUCGGAGAACAUCAAGCAUCGACCUGAGUUCAGGCGAGGGCACCCGCUGAACUUAAGCAUAUCAAUAAGCGGAGGAAAAGAAACUAACCAGGAUUCCCCUAGUAGCG
rnacentral:rRNA from 1 species